UACGAAGGGGGCUAGCGUUGCUCGGAAUCACUGGGCGUAAAGGGCGCGUAGGCGGAUCUUUAAGUCGGGGGUGAAAGCCCAGGGCUCAACCUGGGAACCGCGCUUGAGACUGGCACGCUCGAGUUCGGGAGAGGAUGGUGGAAUUCCCAGUGUAGAGGUGAAAUUCGUAGAUAUUGGGAAGAACACCGAUGGCGAAAGGCAGCCAUCUGGACCGACACUGACGCUGAGGCGCGAAAGCGUGGGGAGCAAACAGG
rnacentral:rRNA from 1 species